CAACAAGGUCAUUCCCAAGAGCGUAGAGACGUGCUUGUUGAUAAAGAUUCGACAAAGCGGUAACCAGGAGGUUGAGGCUGCUUUGAAAGUUAACCAGAAGGAUAUUCUACAUGUGAAGGGAAGACACCAUAACAGGUCUAUAGAAGGAGAUUUCCGUCAUGACGUGAACUUGGAUUUGAACCAUUCAACUCAGCUGAGGAUCCCUCAGGCACUGGGCCUUCAUGGUGAGAUCUUCUUCAGGCAGCAUCCGGCAGGAGAGUUUGACUGUGGUGUAACCCUGCAAGCUGCUGUCAACCAGAAGGUCACAUCUCAGGUCUGUCCUGGAGCCUCUUCUCUCUACGCUUUCUCAAAGUGUCAACCCACACAUUUUAUUGAUGAGGUGACUCAGAACCAAUUCUUGCUUCAGCUGAAUGGAUCCAAGUCUCACAUUGGGUUUUUCUCCCAACUUAGGCAUCCUGCCAGGGUGACACUUCCUCCAAAUUUCCAGGUCCAGGCUGCCGGUAGGCAUCACAAAGAUCGAAGC
rnacentral:lncRNA from 1 species